UAAGAAUUUUAUUGUAGAAGAAUUAGAACUAAAUAUUAUGAGUUAGUGUUGCUUAGACGAUCAAGUUAGCUAAAUAGAAACAAACAAGAAGGAGGAGCUUCAACACCUACAAGAAGUUUAGGAAGGAGACGAGCUACAAGGCUAAUGAGUUGUACUAUUAUGGAAGAGGCACCCGUGUAAGCUGAGUUGAGAGGACGCUUGUUUUUGCGAGUAGUUGGUGAAAGAGAAUGUCAAGCUUAGGGAACGACUCCAAGCUAAGGAUGAAAAGUUGCAUUGCAAUAAGCGGUAAAGCACGAGGAAUUCAAUUCAACAGUCAACACAUUGCUUUGAGCCACCAUAUGAAAGUAUUAAAAAAAAAAUAUUAUUGACAUUUGAAGGAGGCUCUAACCCAUUGGAGGGGAAGGAACGACAAAGUAUUGUAGAUCCCAUAUUGGAUAUAUGAAACUCAAUAAUAGACAACUGACAAAUGACUUGAUAGAGCUAGAAAUGAAGGAUCAUGACAUCGCACACGAUAUGGAUUGGCUAUCCAUUCAUCAAUUGCUAAAAGUAUUUAGUCGCUUUUGGCAACAAAGGCCAGAGACAAGUAUACGUUGAUAAGAGUUAAGAUAGCCUUAUGAACUUCUUUAAUCUCAUCCUUAAAGACUACCUAGAUAAGAAAGGCAUGGUGUCAAGCAUUGUUGGCCAAUCUAAUGAACCAAGUAGUGGAGACACGGUUAACAAACAUCCACGCAGUCUGAUAAUCCCAAAGGUCUUUCUAAAAGAUCUACCAGGGAUACCCUCAGACAGUGAUGUGGAGUUCAUAAUCAAGUUAGCUCUAAGAGUGCUUAAAUUUUGAAGGCUCCAUACAAAAUGGCAAUUUACGAGCUGUAGAAACUCAAAGUAUAGCUACAAGAUCUCCUAGACAAGGGGAUCAUUAGACCAAGUUACUCACCUUGGGGUGCUCCAGUAUUCUUCAUCAAGAAGAAAGAUGGAAGCAUAUGAGAUUGUGCAUAUACUACCUCAAGCUCAACAAGGUGACCAUCAAGAAUAAGUACCCUUUACCAAGGAUAGACGAUCUCUUCGAUCAAUUACAAGGCUUGAGUGUAUUCUAAAAAAAUAUAUAUAUAUAUAUAUUUAAGAUCUAGGUAUCACCAGUUGAAGGUCUGGAAGGAAGACAUACCCAAGGUAGCAUUCAGAACAUGGUAUGGACACUAUGAGUUUUUAGUAAUGUCUUUCGGACUAACUAACGCCCCAACAACCUUCAUGGAUAUGAUGAAUAUGGUGUUCAAGGAGUACCUAGAUAAGUUUGUUGUUGUAUUCAUUGAUGACAUUCUUAUCUACUCCAAAACUGUGGAGGAACAUGAGGAACACCUGAGGAUGACUCUAAACCGACUUAAGGAGAGCCAACUAUACGCCAAAUUGAAGAAAUGUGAAUUCUGGUUAGAGAAGGUGGCAUUCCUAGGCCAUAUAGUUUCCAAAGAUGGAGUCGAGGUGGAUCUUACAAAGAUCGAAGCGGUCAAGAGCUGGCCAACACCUAAGACUGCAAGUGAAGUAAGAAGCUUCUUGGGUCUAGUUGGUUACUAUAGACGCUUCGUGGAAGGAUUUUCCAAGAUCGCAACUCCUCUGACCAACUUGACUUGAAAGACCCAAAAGUUUGUCUAGUCAGAAAAGUAUGAGGGUAGCUUCUAAACACUUAAGGACAAACUAAUAACAGCCCGUGUAUUAUGUGUUCCCAAUAACAAGGAUAAGUUUGUGGUGUACUGUGAUGCAUUAAAACAAGGGUUAGGAUGCGUGCUGAUGCAAAAUGACAAUGUAGUAGCCUAUGCCUCAAGACAACUUAAGGAGUAUGAACAGAGGUACCCAACACACGAUCUGGAGUUGGCGGCAGUAGUUUUUGCGCUAAAAAUAUGGAGGCACUAUCUCUACGGGGAGAAAUGUGAAAUUUUUAUACCGACCACAAGAGCCUGAAAUACUUCUUUAUGCAAAAGAAACUCAACAUGAGGCAGAGGCGAUGGCUAGAGCUUGUUAAGGACUAUGAUUGUGAAAUCCACUACCAUCCGGGGAAGGCCAACGUAGUAGCAGACGCGCUAAGUAGACGCAGUUAUGCCAGCUUGGCAAUACUGGCACAAAUGGAAAUGCCACUACAACAAGAACUCCAAAGAAAUGGUAUAAAGAUCAUUACACAAAAGCUAGCUAACCUAACCAUUGUCUUGACGCUGCUACAAGAACUUAAAGAUGCACAGAUUGUUGAUGAGUUCUUACAGAAGAAAAGAGCAGGCAUGCCAGAGAAGGAGGCAGAGGAUUUCUCCGAAGGUUCAGACGGCAUGCUAAGGUAUAAGGGAAGAGUGUGUGAAGCCAACGACGUAGAGCUUAAAAACAAUAUCUUGAUUGAAGCACACACUACACCCUACUCAAUGCAUCCAGGGUGAACCAAAAUGUACAAUGACUUAAAAACCUUGUAUUGGUGGCCAGGGAUAAAGAAGGAUGUAGCUGAAUUUGUAGCUAGAUGCCUCACAUGUCAACAAGUUAAGGUUGAAUAUCAGAUACCAACAAGGAUGUUACAACCCUUGGUAAUCCCGGAAUGGAAGUGGGAAGAUAUAGCCAUGGAUUUUGUGACAAGACUACCUCGAACAACCAAGAAACACGACUCAAUUUGGGUAAUUAUAGACAGACUCACAAAGUAAGCACACUUUGUUCCAGUAAAGUCUACUUACAGCACAGAGCAGUACGCUGACUUGUACGUACAUGAGAUAUUAAGGUUGCGUGGAGUUCCAAAGACGAUAGUCUCUGAUAGAGGCUCAGUAUUCACCUCCAAGUUCUGGGAGAGUCUACAUAAGGCAAUGGGGACGCGGUUGAAAUUAAGUACAACAUUUCAUCCCCAAACAGAUGGACAAUCUGAACGUACCAUCCAAAUGCUUGUGGAUAUGCUUCGAGCGUGUGCACUGGACUUCACUGGCUCGUGGAGUAAGUAUUUACCUCUAAUGGUGUUCUCCUACAAUAAUAGCUAUCAAGCCACAAUCUAAAUGACACCAUAUGAGAUGCUUUAUGGAUGAAAAUGUAGAUCGCCGCUUCACUUGGAUGAAGUUGGAGAAAGACACUACUUAGGUCCAAAGCAGUAAGAGAAGCUUUAGAAGCAGUUGAAAAGAUACGGCAAAGGAUGCUCACCGCCUAAAGUAGACAGAAAAGUUAUGCAGAUUUGAAAAGACGGGAGGUUGAGUUUUCUGUAGGGAACUUAGUGUUCUUGAAGGUAUCACCUAUGAACGGGGUUAUGCGUUUCGAAAAAAAAAGGGAAAAGUUAAGCCCAAGAUUUAUAGGUCCUUUUGAAAUAUUGGACAGAGUUGGUGAGGUAGCUUACCGUUUGACCCUACCGCCAACAUUAGCAGAAACACAUAAUAUUUUCCACAUUUCUAUGUUACGGAAGUAUGUACCUGAUCCGACACAUGUGCUUAAAUACGAGAACUUGAACUUGCAGCAGGACAUGAGUUACAUGGCACGCCCUGUGCGCGUGAUAGAAAAAGGAACAAAAGUCUUACGAAAUAAGACUAUACCUUUAGUCAAAAUCUUGUGGAGUGAUAGUUCUAAUAGAGAAGCGACAUGGGUGUUGGAGAAGGACAUGCAGAAUCAGUACCCCGAGUUACUCUCAAGUAAGUAAAUUUCGAGGACGAAAUUCCUUUAAGGAGGGUAGAUUGUAAUAACUCAAUUAUUAAAAUUACUUAUUUAAUUAUUAUUAGAAUAGUCUAGAUAUCUCGAUGUGGAAGUAGUGAAUAGAUGAAUAAAUUAGUAAAAGAGUGACCUUCUUUAAAUUUACGAUAAUAAAGUUAUAGUGAUUUUAUGUUAUGCAUGGAAAGCAUGCACGUGUAGCAUGAUAUAGUAAAUUAUAGUGAAUUAUUUAGAUUUUUAAAUUAGUUGAGAAAUUGAUGGGUUUAUUUGAUGGAUUGGUGCUAGUUGCUUGUAAGCUACUUCCAUACAGUAUAUGUGUGUAAUACAAGUAAUGGGGUGGUUAGUAAUUAAGCAUAAAAUUAAAAUUGUACAGGUGGCAAAUUAUGAGUAAGUCUUGCUUUCAAGUUGUAGGCAUUGUGUCGUUCUUAUAACUUGGAUUAUUUGAAAUUACUAUGUGCUUUGAUAUGGUAAUAUUAUUAAGUUAGGAAAAGAUUUUAUAAUCAUUAUUGAGUAGUAAUAGUUGUACUAAGGAUAGUUAGAAGUUUAAGGAGAAUCUUAUACAACCUAGUCUAGUAAGAUUGUAUACGUGGGAACUAGAGAGGAUAAAGCUCUCACCAAUUAACAAAUCAAAAACCAAUUGCUAACUUCAAUUCGAUUUAUUUGGGGAAUUACUGAAGCUUUGACCGAAUAGUUAGGGGCUAAGGAUGAAUAUAUUUAUCUAAUUGCUUAAUUUAAUAGCUUUAUAAAGUUUAACUAUGGUUAGAUGGGGAUCGUGGCAUAAGUUAAAGGAUAUAGCUUAGGGUGAGUUAACUAAAGCUUAAGGCUAUAAAUAGGAGUCAUUAGUGUAAACAUAGCUCACACCAAUCUCUAUUAUGGAUUUACAUACCAAAAUUCUCUUGCAAUUAUUCUCUCCCUCAUAUAUUCACUUAUUUCAUUUUAGAAUGAAGCCUUAGCUCCGCUUAAUAUGUCACCAUAAAACCAAACACCACCCACAAACCAUUGUUUUCUUGUCCAUAUUAACUCAAGGCUAAGACACUAAGUUAAUAUCAUCCUCUCAUAUAUCUUACAUCAUAUUAGCGUCACCAUCUAUCAUUUGAAGUUCAAGUUUUGGUGCUCAACUAGAUCUCAUUGGAAGCUAAUUAAGGUUUUUCAUAAGAAACUCAUUAUUGGUUUUCAAGGAUCACUCUUAUUGCAAUCAAGGCUAGAACUCCACAUUCGAGACCAAGGUAACUGAAAGUUUAGAAAGUCGGUGGCGAGUGGAACUUUGGACGCUUGUGUGUGUGAACUCGCUGAGGACCAUAUAACUGUGGGCGGUCUAGGGCGCUCUGUUUAUUUAUUUACGCUAUUAAACUUAUGUCACAAUUAUUUUAGUUAUUAUUUAUUAUGUCUUUUGUACGAAAA